rnacentral:tRNA from 1 species
UGGCCUAGUGGUUAAGGCUAUGGAUCGCCAAUCCGGAGACGGUGGGUUCGAUUCCCGU